CCUACGGGCGGCAGCAGUAGGGAAUCUUCCACAAUGGGCGCAAGCCUGAUGGAGCAACACCGCGUGAGUGAAGAAGGGUUUCGGCUCGUAAAGCUCUGUUGUUAGAGAAGAACGUGCGUGAGAGUAACUGUUCACGCAUUGACGGUAUCCAACCAGAAAGUCACGGCUAACUACGUGCCAGCAGCCGCGGUAAUACGUAGGUGGCAAGCGUUAUCCGGAUUUAUUGGGCGUAAAGCGAGCGCAGGCGGUUGCUUAGGUCUGAUGUGAAAUCCUUCGGCUUAACCGAAGAAGUGCAUCGGAAAGUGGGAGACUUGAGUGCAGAAGAGGAUAGUGGAAUUCCAGGUGUAGCGGUGGAAUGCGUAGAUAUAUGGAAGAACACCAGUGGCGAAGGCGGCUGUCUGGUCCGCAACUGACGCUGAGGCUCGAAAGCAUGGGUAGCGAACAGGAUUAGAUACCCUAGUAGUC
rnacentral:rRNA from 1 species